rnacentral:rRNA from 1 species
CCUACGGGUGGCAGCAGUGGGGGAUAUUGCACAAUGGGGGGAACCCUGAUGCAGCGACGCCGCGUGGGUGAAGAAGCGCCUCGGCGCGUAAAGCCCUGUCAGCAGGGAAGAAAAUGACGGUACCUGAAGAAGAAGCCCCGGCUAACUACGUGCCAGCAGCCGCGGUAAUACGUAGGUGGCAAGCGUUAUCCGGAUUUACUGGGUGUAAAGGGCGUGUAGGCGGGAAAGCAAGUCAGAUGUGAAAACCAUGGGCUCAACCUGUGGCCUGCAUUUGAAACUGUUUUUCUUGAGUACUGGAGAGGCAGACGGAAUUCCUAGUGUAGCGGUGAAAUGCGUAGAUAUAUGGAAGAACACCAGUGGCGAAGGCGGCUGUCUGGUCUGCAACUGACGCUGAGGCUCGAAAGCAUGGGUAGCGAACAGGAUUAGAUACCCUUGUAGUC